GACGAACGCUGGCGGCGUGCUUAACACAUGCAAGUCGAACGAAAAGAGGGAAAGAGCUUGCUCUUUCCGGAAUUGAGUGGCAAACGGGUGAGUAACACGUAAACAACCUGCCUUCAGGAUGGGGACAACAGACGGAAACGACUGCUAAUACCGAAUAAGUUCCAAGGGCCGCAUGGCCCAUGGAAGAAAAGGUGGCCUCUACCUGUAAGCUAUCGCCUGAAGAGGGGUUUGCGUCUGAUUAGCUGGUUGGAGGGGUAACGGCCCACCAAGGCGACGAUCAGUAGCCGGUCUGAGAGGAGGAACGGCCACACUGGAACUGAGACACGGUCCAGACUCCUACGGGAGGCAGCAGUGGGGAAUCUUCCGCAAUGGGCGAAAGCCUGACGGAGCAACGCCGCGUGAGUGAUGACGGCCUUCGGGUUGUAAAACUCUGUGAUCCGGGACGAAAAGGCAGAGUGCGAAGAACAAACUGCAUUGACGGUACCGGAAAAGCAAGCCACGGCUAACUACGUG
rnacentral:rRNA from 1 species